AUGGGAAACUGCCAGCCAAAAACAAGGUGGUGGUGGGUCCCCGAAGUCCAUUUCCCCCACCGAAGGGGAGAAGAGGACAGUCCCCUCAGCAAAAGGUGGCACCUCACCUUCAGAAACUCCUCUGCAGCAAACUGCUGCCAGAAGAGGUGGAAGAUGAGCAUCCCUGGGAGGAGAAAGAGGUACUCCAACAAGGAAACUCAGACCGACAGCUGCCCGCCGAGCGCUGCCCAGGAACAUUGUGCCAGAAGAGACUCUAUGAAUGCCAGCGGGCUUUGGUAUUCCACUGUCACCCACAACGUCAAACAUGAGUCCUUUGCGACUGACACCAAGAAUCAGACAGACUAUGAUCAGACAGAAUAUGCAAUUGUCAACGUGCCUACGAAUAAGCGAAAUACCACCUACUCUGAAGAGCACAGUGCAUAUGAUUACGUCCUGAUGAACUAGAGAGUGACUCUUUCUGCUCCAAAGAAGGCCUACUCAAAUAUUCACUUAAAUAUUUAAGCCAGCCUUCCUAGCCAUUUCACCUGUCAACUCUUCAAACAAACCGGAGAGCAUCUCUCAAACUGCAAAGCUUUAGGACAUGUCUGCCAGUCAGUUCAAUGAGACAAAUCUGUCCAUGAAAAGGUGAUCACAGGAAGAGGCAUGGACAGGGUACAGGGCUCAACAAGUAAAACAAGAGGAAUCAGCAGUAACUACCGUUGUAAAGCAGGGUUCCUCUAUAGAAAACUAGGUGCUUCUAUACUAGAAGAAACUGAGGCUGCACAAUUUUUCUGGAUAAUUACAGUAUUUUUAAGGGGUUAUAGCAGAACUAACGAUGGAAAUCUCAAAAAUGCAAUAACAAUUAUCCCCUCUUUUUUUUUUUUUUUUUAAUAAAUAAAAAGCAUAGACUUUGUGUUAGGUGUAC
rnacentral:lncRNA from 1 species